AGUGAACGCUGGCGGUAGGCCUAACACAUGCAAGUCGAACGGCAGCACAGUAAGAGCUUGCUCUUACGGGUGGCGAGUGGCGGACGGGUGAGGAAUACAUCGGAAUCUACUUUUUCGGGGGGGAUAACGUAGGGAAACUUACGCUAAUACCGCAUACGACCUACGGGUGAAAGCAGGGGAUCUUCGGACCUUGCGCGAUUGAAUGAGCCGGUGCCGGAUUAGCUAGUUGGCAGGGUAAAGGCACACCAAGGCGACGAUGCGUAGCUGGUCUGAGAGGAUGAUCGGCCACACUGGAACUGAGACACGGUCCAGACUCCUACGGGAGGCAGCAGUGGGGAAUAUUGCACAAUGGGCGCAAGCCUGAUGCAGCAAUACCGCGUGGGUGAAGAAGGUCUUCGGAUUGUAAAGCCCUUUUGUUAGGAAAGAAAAGCAGUAGGUGAAAACCCCGAUGUUCUGACGGUACCCAAAGAAUAAGCACCGGCUAACUUCGUG
rnacentral:rRNA from 1 species